GGAAGCGUGGCAGAGUGGUUGAAUGCACUGGUCUUGAAAACCAGCGAGGGUUUGCGCCCUCCGUGAGUUCGAAUCUCACCGCUUCCG
rnacentral:tRNA from 1 species